rnacentral:lncRNA from 1 species
AUGAACAUAAGCACUUAUCUCAUAAACUCAAUUAAAACAAUCAUCCUAUCAUGUAAAGACUCUUAGACACGUCCGAACAUAGAAUGAAUGUAGAGCUGGGGCGGGUUGUGCACUUGUGAUGGCCCCUACUGCUUUGCAAAGCCAUUGCCGAGGGGUUCCACCCGACCAUACACAAGGCUAGUCCGUUACCGCAGUAUAGACCUCCAGUGAUAGCGUCUACCCUAGGACCUCCCACUACUCCCACCACACGCGUCAAUCCUCUCUAAGUGAGAAUGAAAGACCGUUGGAGUGUUAGGGAUAACCCCCCCAUAUGGAAGCCUCUCACCAUUCAUUCAAUACACUAACUGAUCUCACCGAGAGACCGUAAUUCCAUAACCAAAUCCAACCACUUUAAUCAAAUGAUAUACCUCUUGAAUCAAUAAUGUACUAUACAUUAACUCAUCAAACGUAAGGUUUUUCCACACCAUAUAAAACGUUUCGACUUCAUAUAAAAUACCACUACAAGACAUAAAAAUAUUCAACUUUCAUUAUUUAUUUUAUAUACCUAAUAACCCC